GACGAACGCUGGCGGCGUGCUUAACACAUGCAAGUCGAACGGAAAGGCCUGCUUUCCCUUGUGGAUUGCGGGUACUCGAGUGGCGAACGGGUGAGUAACACGUGAGUGAUCUGCCCCCAACUUGGGUAUAAGCCUGGGAAACUGGGUCUAAUUCCCGAUAGGACUGCAGGGUGGUGCCUGUGGUGGAAAACGAUUUUCUAGUGGUUGGGGAUGAGCUCGCGGCCUAUCAGCUUGUUGGUGGGGUAAUGGCCUACCAAGGCGGCGACGGGUAGCCGGCCUGGGAGGGUGGACGGCCACAGUGGGACUGAGAUACGGCCCAGACUCCUACGGGAGGCAGCAGUGGGGAAUAUUGCACAAUGGGCGGAAGCCUGAGGCAGCGACGCCGCGUGGGGGAUGACGGCCUUCGGGUGGUAAACUCCUUUCGACCGCGAGGAAGCCACCUGGUUGGAAGGGUGGUGACGGUAGUGGUAGAAGAAGCACCGGCUAACUACGUG
rnacentral:rRNA from 1 species